CGAGUCCUACGGGGGGCAGCAGUGGGGAAUAUUGCACAAUGGGGGAAACCCUGAUGCAGCAACGCCGCGUGAAGGAAGACGGUUUUCGGAUUGUAAACUUCUGUUCUUAGUGAAGAAAAAUGACGGUAGCUAAGAAGCAAGCCACGGCUAACUACGUGCCAGCAGCCGCGGUAAUACGUAGGUGGCAAGCGUUGUCCGGAAUUACUGGGUGUACAGGGAGCGCAGGCGGGAAGGCAAGUCA
rnacentral:rRNA from 1 species